UGUUGUCAUUGUUAUUAUUGUGAUGCAUUUGUUUCUGCACAGCCUUAACUGCUGCCACUCUAGCUGCAUUGGCUGCCCUGUUAGCUGCUGCUGCAGCCUUAUUCACCCUUUCAUCGACCUUAGCCACAUCAUAAGCCAUUUCUGCCGCUCGUCGUGCUUCCUGCACUGCAUUGAGUACUUUAGAAUGAUAAACAGCAACAGGAGAUACAGGAAAAGAGUUGUUUUGUG
rnacentral:misc_RNA from 1 species